UGUGUCUCGCAUUGUGGAUAUCGAACCUACAUACUGGUUUAACAGCACCAAGCAUUCAAUGAUUGAUCUAGGACCAAACUCCUCCGUUGCAACCAAGGCACCACACCUUGCGGCAUGUUUCUUACCUUUAACACAUAUCUGUAAUUCCUACAAAGCCACCCUUCAGACCGACCGGAACGGUAUUGUUUUAACUGCGAGCUGGACAGAAGCAAACAAGAUGUGCAGAGAUCAGGGUAGCUUUUUGCUUAAAGAUAAUGAAAUGAAAGGUGACCAUUGCGUGGCAUCGACCCUUUACAGAUUCGCAGCAUAUGCUCACUAUGGUUCGUACGGAAUGUGGACUAACACGGAGGGUUUUGUCGGAAGGUAUAACAACGUGGAUAAUAUAAUGCAUAUCCGCGACGAAUUUAAUACGCUUCACUACCGUCCGCAUCGCUCGGUUGUAUGCUUUGAGUCUGUCCAGAAUUGAAUAUUCUGCGAAAGAUGCUCUGCUGAAUUUGUGAAGCCGCGGGUCUGUCCAGAGAUUGAAGAUUCUGUUUCUGAAAUUCAUAUUGUGCAUCCAUCUAGUGUUUGUACGGUUCUGACUGCGUUACUGCUGACAUAAUUAUCUUCCAGAAUACCUCAAUACAACUAAGUGAACACAAUCUGGAUCAACGAUCAGACUUCAAUACCUGCAAACCAUUGCCAUUUUUGUAUUUCUAUAUUAUUACUUAGGGACUCCCCGGAGGCUUCUCCGCGGCCUAUUGAGGGGGUUUCAAAAUGCAUGAACCAAGUGCCAAGGUUUAAUCUUGCUUGUUUUUUGAAGACAGUGAGGUUUUCCUCGAGGCUGGAGUAUUUUGGAAUGUUUAUCUACUUUGAUGUAUGCAAUAUUCACUGGUUUGGUGUAUGCCUACAUAUGUUUGGCAUUCUCUUAAAGUUGCUUUGCUGGUGCUUAUUAUGGGACGCUGA